rnacentral:rRNA from 1 species
GAGUUUGAUCCUGGCUCAGGAUUAACGCUGGCGGCAUGCCUAAUACAUGCAAGUCGAACGGAGUAGCAAUACUUAGUGGCGAACGGGUGAGUAACACGUAUCUAAUCUACCAUUUAGUGGGGAAUAACUGUUGGAAACGACAGCUAAUACCGCAUAAUAUUGCUGGAUAAUUUCCAGUAAUGAAAGGAGCUUUCAAGCUCCGCUGAUUGAUGAGGAUGCGGCGCAUUAGCUAGUUGGUAGGGUAAUGGCCUACCAAGGCAAUGAUGCGUAGCCGAUCUGAGAGGAUGAACGGCCACAUUGGGACUGAGACACGGCCCAAACUUCUACGGAAGGCAGCAGUAGGGAAUUUUUCACAAUGGGCGAAAGCCUGAUGGAGCAAUGCCGCGUGACUGAUGAAGGUCUUCGGAUUGUAAAGGUCUGUUGUAAGGGAAGAAAUGGUAAAACAGGAAAUGGUUUUAUCUAUGACGGUACCUUACCAGAAAGCCACGGCUACCUAUGUGCCAGCAGCCGCGGUAAUACAUAGGUGGCAAGCGUUAUCCGGAUUUAUUGGGCGUAAAGGGUGCGUAGACGGUUUUGCAAGUCUGAGGUUAAAUUUAGGAGCUCAACUCCUAAUCGCCUUGGAAACUACAAGACUAGAGUAUAGGAGAGGUUAGUGGAAUUCCAUGUGUAGCGGUGGAAUGUGUAGAUAUAUGGAGGAC